GACGAGGGAUCCUAGCGUUGUUCGGAAUCAUUGGGCGUAAAGCGGGUGUAGGUGGCUUUGUAAGUCAGGUGUGAAAGCCCAGGGCUCAACCCUGGAAGUGCAUUUGAUACUGCGAAGCUGGAGUGCUGGAGAGGAAGGCGGAAUUCUCGGUGUAGAGGUGAAAUUCGUAGAUAUCGAGAGGAACACCGGUGGCGAAGGCGGCCUUCUGGACAGCGACUGACGCUGAGACGCGAAAGCGUGGGGAGCAAACAGG
rnacentral:rRNA from 1 species